AGCUAUUAUGUUGACAAUGGAUAAAUAGCUAUAAACCUGUUCAACACUACACAGUGAGGUGCAGUACAGAUGUUGCUGGUUAUAAAGCUAACCCUCCCACUCAGCCCACUCCAGCUGCUGCCCUAAUCAGGUGGAGCCCAGUCCUGCCCAGAUCCUGUCAUGUCUGCUUCACACAGCUGCCAGAACAGACAACACAAGCAGGAGACAACAAUAAUGCAAAUCUCUGUGUCUCUCCUCCUCAUCUUCAUAGGCUCCACUACUGCCAAAAAACAAGGGAAAUUUGGCAUUUUUACUGCCUGUACCAUCAACAAUACCCUCAGGUUGGAAUGCAUGUAUGCAGUCUGUAAAGACUCUCCAUCCUACAGCUGUGAAUUCUGGAAAGGAAAUGAGACUCUGGCUAAAGCAUCAGAUAAAAUGUGCAGGCACAGUAUCGAAGACCACCGCAAGCAUCAUGGCAAAGAGAUCACAAACUACACAUGCAAGCUGACCAGGGUGCAAAGGGUGGAGGUGGUUAAUAUCACCAUUGACUAUGCAAAAAGAACAGGAAAAGGUAAAAUCAAGGACUGUCGUGCCACCACAGGCUUACUGCUACACCAGACUCCAACCUUACUGUGGCCUGUUGUGAUCCUGCCUCUGUGGACAGUCCUUGUUACAGACAGACAGGCAACAUGAGGGAUCAGCUGUGGAAGCAACUACAUUUACAGCAAUCUAAUCUUUUCAAGUUAGGUUGCACUUUGUUUUUGCUUUGUUUGCAUACACAAAAAAUGUUUAUGAGGAGGGAAAGAAUAUUUGAUAUGGGGCUAAUUUAUAUUGGGAUGACGAAAAAUGUUUUUCACAAUUGCUAACAUGAGUUUAGCAGGCAUUGAUGAACAAGAGGCAACCUCUAGGAUGGAGAAAUGAAGCUUAAAGUCAGAAACUGCAGCAGGUCCCUCGAUGGCCAGUGACUGGCUCCAGAAAUGAAUCAAUCUGCAUAAAGAUUAAGAUUAACUUUAUUAAUCCCCAUGGGGAAAUUAGGUAUAAACAUCUCACUUUAUAGCAGCAGACAUAACCAUGUCUACAUCCUGGAGGGUUUUGGUCUCUUCUUCUGUAAGACACCUGCACAGGGAUUAAUAAAAAAAACCUCACCAUCACUCGUUUUGUUAGAUUACGAAUUAAAAUUUCAAAUAAUUAAGGGCAUGGCCACUCUGAGUGACAGGUGAGCUUCCUGCUUUCCCGUCCCCUCGGCUCUGCUCACGCUCCACCUCUUUGCCCAUAUUUAGAUUACUGGCACUGUGUCUGAAAUCACCCACUCACUCCAUUCUCCCUAUAUGAGCAUAUCAUUGUAGGGUACUAUACUGUGGGCUCAUCACACAAAUAUAAAGAGCACUUUCCGGCACUGCUGUCUCAUUAUUAAAACAUGCGACAUCAAAUAAAUAUUGGGCAUAAUGCAUGAUGAUACAUCAUGCUAAUGUAGUGAUCAUCUGUUUCACUGCUUUUUAUGAUGCAUUAUGAGUGCACUCACUCAUAAAGGGUUCAAUGAUUCUCGACACACAUUUGGACAGCACUGCACAAUGACAAACACACUAUGUAGUGCACUACAGUGAUGGGGUGAUUAUCUUUAAUUAUUAUUAUUAUUAGAGACACUAAUGAGGGCAGUAUAGUUCCUUACAAUAUUAUAUAAUACAAUAUAUUUAAACAUAUGUUGACAAUCAAAAAACAAAGACCACUACUGUGUCCACUUGCAGUUCCAUGAUUUACUGUACUAGAUCACAAAGUUGCUGUACCUACCUUGUCCAUGAUGAGUUCCUCCUGCUGUCAGGAGAAUGUAGGGCACCUUCUACAAAAAGGGAACAAAAACAACUUUAGUAAAAUCUACAAUGGAAAUAUCUGUACACAGUCAAUUUACAAUGACAAAAAUAUAUAAGUCUCCUGAUUAUAUUAGAAACAGAGAAUCCGCAUAUGAAGUGUUUUUGGUCUUCCUCCCGCCUCUCAGACUAUCUUUGAUAUCAUCUUCUUUCAGCUCAUCUGUGCACUCUGAAUUCCUUUUUAGUGGCGUCAACACAUCAUUAGCAACAAGGUGCUUUCAGCUGCGACACCCGUGCAGUGACUUAGUUUAACUUCUACCACCUGCGGUUAUCACUGUGCAUUAAAAGUGCAUCACAGUGAAGAAUGCCUUACAGAAAUUGAAAAGGCACUGAGAUCUGCCUGUGUGCCUGACAGGUUCAAACUGUUAAAAAAGUUAAAAAUCAAAUCCAAUAAACCGCUGACCAUUUGAAAAGUGCAAAAUAAAAGGAAUAAAGUCAUUGUGUUCCUUAACAGGUACAGAUAUUUCCUUACUUACUAAAUUGGCAGAUUUCUACAUAGAGUUUGGUGCAAUGCUGUUUUCAGAUACAACCUAAACCCAACAACACCACAUAAAACCCCUUUUAAUGUUUGUUGUAUUGUUCAGGUUAACUAAAAAAUAAUAUUACAUCUAUUUACAGUUAGAAUUGUAGUAUUUUGGUUAGUUAAUAUGCUCACACAGAAACUGUGGGUUGCCCCAGGGUUCCUUCAGGUCAUAACACAGGACUGUUCUUGAAUAUCUAUAUAUAUGCCUUAUACAGACACCUUGCACUUACCGUUUGUGUUUACAGGUAAGCAAACAUUGAUAUAAAGUGAAUGUGCAUGCCAGCUUUUUUUUAAAACACACAGCUAUGUAGGCAAGUUGGUUGCUUGUUAGAAAUGUAAAUGUAUAGACUGCCUCCAGUGUAUGAGUAGUCUGCUGUAUAUCUGCAGACAUGUUGCACUUCCUGUAUGAGUUCCUGUUUAUUUACCAGGCCAGAUGAUGUUUUUUAUUUUUAAAUUGUGUUAAAACCUGACAUGUGAGCUACUGAUUGUUGAUCCUGACAUGAUAUAAUAUGAUAUCCUGACAGUAGACUAUGCAUCUAGGUUUAAAUAUGUGAUUAUGUGCCUUGCAUGAUGCAUACUAUACACGUCAUACUGUAUGUCACUGCCUUUAACAUAGCUACUCAGGAUGAAACCGAUGAGACAGUGGAACGCGUAUGUAAAUUCAGAAAUAAAG
ensembl:lncRNA